rnacentral:rRNA from 1 species
GAUUUCGGGUGAAGCGGUGACACGGGGGGUAAGACUUAGCGAGCCUACCUAGGGCUGGGGGAUAGCUAGGGUGAGUUCGUUUAAAUUCCACUGACGACCUACGGACAAAAGGGGGCAGUUUACUGCUCUCGCUAUUAGAUGAGCCUAAGUCGGAUUAGCUAGAUGGUGGGGUAAAGGCCUACCAUGGCGACGAUCUGUAGCUGGUCUGAGAGGAUGAUCAGCCACACCGGGACUGAGACACGGCCCGGACUCCUACGGGAGGCAGCAGUGGGGAAUAUUGGACAAUGGGGGAAACCCUGAUCCAGCCAUGCCGCGUGUGUGAAGAAGGCCUUUUGGUUGUAAAGCACUUUAAGCAGUGAAGAAGACUCCGUGGUUAAUACCCACGGACGAUGACAUUAGCUGCAGAAUAAGCACCGGCUAACUCUGUGCCAGCAGCCGCGGUAAUACAGAGGGUGCAAGCGUUAAUCGGAAUUACUGGGCGUAAAGGGAGCGUAGGUGGCUCGAUAAGUCAGAUGUGAAAUCCCCGGGCUCAACCUGGGAACUGCAUCUGAUACUGUUGAGCUAGAGUAUGUGAGAGGAAGGUAGAAUUCCAGGUGUAGCGGUGAAAUGCGUAGAGAUCUGGAGGAAUACCGAUGGCGAAG